rnacentral:rRNA from 1 species
UACAGAGGUCUCAAGCGUUGUUCGGAUUCAUUGGGCGUAAAGGGUGCGUAGGCGGCGCGGUAAGUCGGGUGUGAAAGCCCCGGGCUCAGCCCGGGAAGGGCACUAGAAACUGCCGAGCUGGAGUGCCGGAGGGGAGAGUGGAAUUCCUGGUGUAGCGGUGAAAUGCGUAGAUAUCAGGAGGAAUACCGGUGGCGAAAGCGACUCUCUGGACGGCAACUGACGCUGAGGCACGGAAGCGUGGGGAGCAAACAGG